rnacentral:lncRNA from 1 species
GGUUCGGCGCGGGCAUCUUCGCGGAGGGGAGCGAGGAGGUGUCGGUGGACGUGUUCAAGAAGCUGGAGCGGCGCAAGGUGCUGAGCACGGUGGAGAAGGCCGGCCUGCUGUCCAAGGCCGAGGAGCUGGGCGUCACGCUCUCCUCGCUGGAGCAGCUGGGCCUGCUCUCCAAGGCCGAGGACCUGGGCCUGCUCAGCCUCGUCGAGACCGCGGCGGGCACGUCCCCCUCCGUGCUCGCGUCCAUCUCGCUGCCGCUUCUCGUCGCCGCCGUCGCCGAGGUGGUCGUCGUGCCCGACGACUCCGUCGCGCUCGUCGCCGUCCAGGCCGUCGUCGCCGCCGUGCUCGCGGCCGGGGCCGCCGGGCUGUUCGUGGGGUCCGUCGUGCUCGCCGGCCUGCAGGAGUCGGAUUGAUCAGCGGCUGCUCGCUCGCCGAUAGCUUCGCGGAGCUGGGUAAACCAUGCUGCGUACGCCGUCGUCAG